GCGGCCUAUCAGCUUGUUGGCGGGGUAACGGCCCACCAAGGCAACGACGGGUAGCUGGUCUGAGAGGAUGGUCAGCCACACUGGGACUGAGACACGGCCCAGACUCCUACGGGAGGCAGCAGUGGGGAAUCUUGCGCAAUGGGCGAAAGCCUGACGCAGCAACGCCGCGUGCGGGAAGAAGGCUUUCGGGCUGUAAACCGCUUUCAGCAGGAACGAAAAUGACGGUGCCUGCAGAAGAAGGAGCGGCCAACUAUGUGCCAGCAGCCGCGGUGAUACAUAGGCUUCAAGCGUUGUCCGGAUUUAUUGGGCGUAAAGAGUUCGUAGGCGGUUAAGUAAGUCGGGUGUGAAAAUUCUGGGCUCAACCCAGAGACGCCACUCGAUACUGCUUGACUUGAGUUCGAUAGGGGAG
rnacentral:rRNA from 1 species